rnacentral:rRNA from 1 species
GUAACACAGAGAGCUUGCUCUCGGGUGACGAGCGGCGGACGGGUGAGUAAUGUCUGGGAAACUGCCUGAUGGAGGGGGAUAACUACUGGAAACGGUAGCUAAUACCGCAUAACGUCGCAAGACCAAAGUGGGGGACCUUCGGGCCUCAUGCCAUCAGAUGUGCCCAGAUGGGAUUAGCUAGUAGGUGGGGUAAUGGCUCACCUAGGCGACGAUCCCUAGCUGGUCUGAGAGGAUGACCAGCCACACUGGAACUGAGACACGGUCCAGACUCCUACGGGAGGCAGCAGUGGGGAAUAUUGCACAAUGGGCGCAAGCCUGAUGCAGCCAUGCCGCGUGUAUGAAGAAGGCCUUCGGGUUGUAAAGU